rnacentral:sRNA from 1 species
CCUGCUCCCAUUAAGACGACUCUAAAUGGGAAAAAAAGGAAGAGUGGCUUUUUGAGGUGGUGGCAUUGGGGGACGUGCCGGAUGGUACAGUGGUGACUGUGAUGGCAGGCAAUGACGAGAACUACUCCGCUGAGCUGCGCAAUGCCUCGGCCGUCAUGAAGAACCAGGUGGCCAGGUUCAACGACCUUCGCUUCGUGGGCCGCAGUGGGCGAGGGAAGAGUUUCACCCUGACCAUCACUGUGUUCACCAACCCCACCCAAGUGGCGACCUACCACCGAGCCAUCAAGGUGACCGUGGACGGACCCCGGGAGCCCAGACGGCACCGGCAGAAGCUGGAGGACCAGACCAAGCCGUUCCCUGACCGCUUUGGGGACCUGGAACGGCUGCGCAUGCGGGUGACACCGAGCACACCCAGCCCCCGAGGCUCACUCAGCACCACAAGCCACUUCAGCAGCCAGCCCCAGACCCCAAUCCAAGGCACCUCGGAACUGAACCCAUUCUCCGACCCCCGCCAGUUUGACCGCUCCUUCCCCACGCUGCCAACCCUCACGGAGAGCCGCUUCCCAGACCCC